rnacentral:rRNA from 1 species
UACAGAGGGUGCAAGCGUUGUUCGGAAUUAUUGGGCGUAAAGCGCGUGUAGGCGGCAUAGCAAGUCGGGUGUGAAAGCCCUCGGCUCAACCGAGGAAGUGCGCCCGAAACUGCAUGGCUUGAGUACCGGAGAGGAUGGCGGAAUUCCCCAAGUAGAGGUGAAAUUCGUAGAUAUGGGGAGGAACACCGGUGGCGAAGGCGGCCAUCUGGACGGAUACUGACGCUGAGACGCGAAAGCGUGGGGAGCAAACAGG